rnacentral:rRNA from 1 species
GAAGAACGUGGGUGAGAGUAACUGUUCACCCAGUGACGGUAUUUAACCAGAAAGCCACGGCUAACUACGUGCCAGCAGCCGCGGUAAUACGUAGGUGGCAAGCGUUAUCCGGAUUUAUUGGGCGUAAAGCGAGCGCAGGCGGUCUUUUAAGUCUAAUGUGAAAGCCUUCGGCUCAACCGAAGAAGUGCAUUGGAAACUGGGAGACUUGAGUGCAGAAGAGGACAGUGGAACUCCAUGUGUAGCGGUGAAAUGCGUAGAUAUAUGGAAGAACACCAGUGGCGAAGGCGGCUGUCUGGUCUGUAACUGACGCUGAGGCUCGAAAGCAUGGGUAGCGAACAGGAUUAGAUACCCCGGUAGAUUC